UGAGAUAAGGGUAUAAGAACAACACCUUUGAGCUAAGAAAAACAAAAGGGAAGCAAAAUUUUCGGAGGCCUCCCCUUCUUAUAGGCACGUGUUCAGCACGGGUGAGGGUAAGGCCGUGCUGACCAGCACGGCUAGGACUCAGCCCGUGCUGAACCUUUAGCCUUCUUGUGAUGCACCUUGGCACGGGCAUGGGGUUGUAU
rnacentral:lncRNA from 1 species